UACAUCCCAACAUUCCAACCUGUAGCAGCGCUGUUUUCUUCAGUGGACUGGUUUGAACUGGAUGCCAUUGUAUUCGUCAGAGUUGGGGGUGAAAUAUUGUGUUUCUUCUCUAGAAAUUGAUCGAUAUGUCAUCAAAAAAUUUCCAUUUUUUUCCUGCGCUAUUUCCAGUUUUCCGAGUCUUGUCCUUCUCUUGCUUGUACUUUUGUCGUAGUUUUUUCAUUUUAUUUAUUAUUUCUUUUAGAGUGAAUCCUAUGAAUCCUUUGCUUUCAAUUAAGCUGUUUCUGUGUUUAAAAUUAUUCAUAAGUAUGACUCGCAAGCUAUGUACUGUAUCUAUGUAAUGUUUACAAUACUGUGACUCAGUCUUGGCUAUGUUAUUAAUAAAAAAUGCUGUGUAUGUUCAGCGGAAAAUUGUACACAGAGUAACCUUUUAAAAAAUAUUCGACUCUUUGACUUUGUAAAGUUCGAAAGCCAAGAUAAAAAUUCAUUUACAAAAAUACAAAGACAAAGUUAAAACACACAAAAAAGUUAAAAUUCAUAUAAAGUAAAAAGUAAAGACCGACCAAAACAUUUAAAAAAAAAACGAAAAUAAACGUAAAAUACAAAUUAAAAUAAACUGUUAACGCUAAAACACGAAAAUCAAAAAUUAAAACCCAAGAAUUAAGAGUUUAAAACACACAAAAAAUAUAUUAAAAGUUGAAAUAAAAAAAGUACAAAGACAAAGUUGCGAUGACUCGUCACUUACCAGCACUACUUGGUAAACUUUACUGGUCUGCCUCGAUGUUUUACAUGUUUCGAGAGAGAUUUUUAUUGUUUCCUCUGAUCACAAAGUGAUGCCGGCGAGUGCGAGUCGCUUCGUCUGUCCACACUUUACCCCGGUUUGUUUUUGACGCCAUCUUGUUUUCUUUUUCAAGGAAUACGCAUGCGUAAUUAGUUUUAGGGCCACGUGCUAUAUUUUGAGCGGGCCGAAGCCCCGUUUACACUACACUAAUUUUUGGCACGGCACUCUUAAAUAAUGGCACGCGGACCAAAUGUUUAGGCACGGCACUCUUAAUUUUCGCAGUGUAAACGCAAAAUUAAGGGUCCGCGUGCCAUAAUUGUUUGACGGGCCGAGACCUCUUCAAGGAUACCGUCUCGGCCCGCUUAAAAUAUAGCACGCGGCCCUAAAACUAAUUACGCAUGCGUAUUCCUUGGAAACGAAAACAAGAUGGCGUCAAAAUCAAACCCUACUUACACUUAAUUGUGCUCUAUAUAUCGGAUAUAGAGUGCUGAUAAUUAGAUAAAAGUCAGCCCUGAAUUUAUCCAUCAAUCGUCCAAGAAAUUAUAAAACGUCGGCUGAAAUGCCACCCAAAAAUGGCGGCGUGAGAAAGGCUAAUUCAAGGCACCUCUAUAUCCCAUAUUCAUGGACCACAAGUGAGGGUAACUAAAUCAUAUUACAGUAUUACACCCAGAUGUUUGAGUGCAUAAUCAUUCGGAAUAUGUUAUAUUGUAUGCAGUGGCGG